GACGAACGCUGGCGGCGUGCCUAAUACAUGCAAGUCGAGCGAGCGGAACUAACAGAUUUACUUCGGUAAUGACGUUAGGAAAGCGAGCGGCGGAUGGGUGAGUAACACGUGGGGAACCUGCCCCAUAGUCUGGGAUACCACUUGGAACCAGGUGCUAAUACCGGAUAAGAAAGCAGAUCGCAUGAUCAGCUUUUAAAAGGCGGCGUAAGCUGUCGCUAUGGGAUGGCCCCGCGGUGCAUUAGCUAGUUGGUAAGGUAAAGGCUUACCAAGGCGAUGAUGCAUAGCCGAGUUGAGAGACUGAUCGGCCACAUUGGGACUGAGACACGGCCCAAACUCCUACGGGAGGCAGCAGUAGGGAAUCUUCCACAAUGGACGCAAGUCUGAUGGAGCAACGCCGCGUGAGUGAAGAGGGUUUUCGGAUCGUAAAGCUCUGUUGUUGGUGAAGAAGGAUAGAGGUAGUAACUGGCCUUUAUUUGACGGUAAUCAACCAGAAAGUCACGGCUAACUACGUG
rnacentral:rRNA from 1 species